CAUCAAGUCAUCUAUGGUGGAUAACAGUUGCAUUGGGCAUGGAUGUGCCCCAUGGUUCCAUGGCAAUAAUCACAACAUGGUGGAAACAACAUAAUUUUCAGCAUAUGCCCAGUACCUCACAAUUUAAAGAUCAUCCACAUUAACACGGGCAAUAAUGACAACAUGGUUCCAUGGCAAUUAUGUCAUCAUAGGCAUAAAGGAAAGCACAAGUAAACACGGGCCUCAGCUGCACUACAACACAUCCAAUGCAAAUGCUCCUCAGAUUAGUGUAUAUAGCAUCAUUGGCCAAGUAAAAACUUCAAUCAUAGUAUGAAAUGUUUGAGCCUUACAGUAAAAACUUCAAUCAUAGUAAAAACUUCAAUCAUAGUAAGAAUACAAAUAGUGCCUUACAAUAAGUUUGAGCCCAAUAGCUUAGGGUUCAAAUGGUGUCCACCCAAAUGUUACCUAUUGUUAGCCACCCUCCUAGGUAAAUUAGACAAAAGGACUGGUGGGAGUAAACCAGACUGCACACCAAAAUGUCUACAACAAAUUAUUCCUAGUUGUAGUCAAAAGAGAGAGUGGGCAGGAAGAGAGAGUGGGUGGUGGUGCACACCAACAUGUAAUUCACCUACAUGUAGUAGUUCUUGGCUAGGAAGGUCCUAAGCCAAAUGUUUCUAUGUGCCUCAGUCAUGUGAACAAAGCCACUGCCUUGAGCCUUGUUGUCCAGGAGGAAGGUGUAGGCAACAAUCAGUGCCUCCUCAGAAUAGCCAGGCAUCUCCAUCACAGCUAAGUAGAGGUUACCAUCCACAUGGGCAGGUCCAGUCUCUCUAAGGGCAUUAGCCACAUUGUUCACUGCAUCAGACAUAUUGGUCAACAUAAGCAUCUCAUCCUCACUGAAGUUCCCUCUCUUCCUCUUCCUACCCACAGCUAUGGAGGGGAUCUCGGUGGCCUUGCUACCCUCUCCAACAUCAGUUUGUGCUCUCUCUUCAGAGAUAUAGGUGAAGGCAGGUCCCUCAACCUUGGCAGCAACACUAUCAACCUGGUUCUGUCCUAAGGCUUCACCAGAACCAAGUGCAAAUUUGCCAGUGGCCAUAGCAUGGCCAAAAAUGGCCUCCAUCUCAGUGUAGAACCUAAUAGGGCAGUUUAGGAACUCUGCAUCUUUUGGAUGGUCCUGAUCAAGUAAUUGAAAAGAUAGUGUUUUAGACAAGUAAAAAAAGCAAGGAGACAUAGGAAACAAAUCAUAGUGCUACCUUGCAGUGGCCAAGGUAGUGCUCCUGAUCAAGCAAGAUAGCAUUGGAGUCACUAUCCCAUAAAGCCCCACUAAGGUCUUUGAGCUUAGACACCCUAGACCAUUUUUGCCUCCAUUUCCUCAAGUGGUUAUACACCUGAGUUGGGCUCACUGCCUCCCCACUGUACUCCUUAAGGGCUUUGGCCACAGAGUUGACAUCCUUGUCCUUGAAGACCUUGUCAGGCCUGCUACCAUCACUAAGAAGUUGAGCCAUCCUCCUAAGAAUAAAUCCAGAGGUGUUGUUGUUCCACCUCAUUGCCCUAGGACCCCCGGGAACAGCAGCAACAAGACCAGCUGCUGUUGGAGCAGCACCGACACUAGAUGCAGUAGCAUCAUCAGCGUUAGCUGCUGCACUAGCACCAACCCUUAUCAUCUCAGUCAUCACAUCAGUAGCUGGGACAAACCCACCCUGAUCACCAGCUGGGACUGAAGGCAUCUUACCACUGGUUUGCAUGUACAAAUUAGUAUAAUAAUAUCAACACAACAAGAAGAGUCAAAUGGGAAUAAAAAAAUUGGUCUCAGCCAUGUCCAUCAUAUUAUUACAUUAUCAUCAAACAAACAUGAGUUCCAUAGCAGGGUAAACAAACCAUCAUAUCCUAGAGCUUCCCCUCCCUUCCCACAUAACAUUGCAAAUGGCAUCCCUCUUUGCAGCCAUGGCACUGGAUUCUUGGCUCUGGCUACCAUUAUCAUCUAGUGGAUCUUGUUGUGUGCCAGUGAAACCCUCCUCAUCAGGCACUACUUCAUCAAUGCCAAAUCCUAAAAUCCAGUUAUGCAGGAUCGAGCAUGCCAACACAAGCUUGACUUGUGUCUUAUACUUGUGAAAGGGCUUGUUGUCCAAGAUACGAAACCUGUUCUUCAAUGCACCUAUAGCCCUCUCCACAGUUACUCUAAGUGAUGAGUGUCUCAGGUUGAACAGUUCUCUUGCAUUGGUAGGUCGAUUUCUGCUCCCAAACUCACUCAAAUGGUACCUAACCCCCCUGAAGGGGGGUAGAAAGCCAGUGCGGCAUGCAUACCCCGCAUCUACCAAGUAGAAUUUACCUACAAUGUGAAAUCUACUGUGAGCUUGUGUGACAUUGUAGAAUUUACCUACAAUGUGAACUUGGUAGUGCAAUUACCUUGUGGGACAGUGAACCCAUCAUCCCUCUCAAUGGCAUCAGCCAGGAUAAGUGCAUCAUGGGCAGACCCCUCCCAACCAGCUAGAACGUAUGUGAACUUGAGGUCAAAUCCACAGCAACCAUCACAUUUUGUGUCGGGUUAGUUUUCCUACCCCUGAAAGCUUGCUGCAUGUGUCUAGGCACCCUUGCCAGCACAUGGGUGCCAUCAAUGGCACCAAUGCAGUCCUAAAAACCAUAUAUGUAAGAUAAAUGAACAUGUGAAUAUGAACAACUAAUGAACCCAAGGUAGGCAAAUACCUUUAAAUAUGGAUUCCAUCUAUAGCUUCCAGUGAUCUUUGGGUGAGUGGUAGGGCUAGGUGCCUUGAUAAGUUCCUUCCUAAGCUCUCCAACAGCAUACAAAACCUGAUGAAAGUGCUUGUGUACUGUCUGAAUGGACCUCCUAAAGGCCUGGUGCACAACUCUGAACCUUUGGUUGUGACCAACAACAUGCAAGAACAUGGCAACUUGCUCCUCUACUGACACCCCUCCCUAUCAGUUACCAGUCCCCUCUCUCUAAAGGUCGUGCAUAAAGCAAAAAAAAGGGCUCUCUUCAUCCUAAGCAUGGAAAUGCACUCUACAUCAGUGGAGUUGUAAAUCAUGUUGAGGGUCCUCUGUCUGUGAAGUUCACUUUGUUCCCUAAGUACAUAGACUAGAGGGUCAGGCUCUACUUCAGGAUCAAACCUUUUUCUUUUAAGCCUAGUUGUAACAAAUGAAACCAUCACUACUGUCAAGGCAGCUGCUUGCUUACACAACAGCUCGCGGCUCAAAGAGGGAUCCAUCUACAUGCAUAUAACAAUGAUACAAGAAUUAAUCUAAUCAUACCCUGCUUGGCCUCAACAUGUUUGCAAAAUGAAUCAGUAAGGAAAAAGAACACAGCUGCAUCAUCUAUAUGAUACCUCCAAGUGAACGUAAAGGACAACAUCAUCGACCAAUUUAAUAUAAAUCCAAAGCAAACCACAUGAAAAUCAAACUCGCAGCAGGUAUAACAUGAACAACACACUGUACCAAACCCUAACUCAUGAAGCAUGAACCUGAAAAUAGAACGAUUGGGGGUUGAUUUCACCUUGGGGUCAAGGUCGUAGCAACGGAGACAGAGCAGAUCUAGAAGUAUAGGAAGCAGAUCGACCAGAGACGAAGCGACGAAGCAGAUGCCCAACGCCACGGAGUCCCGGCACCAGGCGGAGCUGGACGCAGCCGCGACACACAACCACUCGCCGCCAGUCUCUCACGAGGGAGGGAGGAGGUGGAAGAAGAACGAGCAGCGAGAGGAGGGGAAAAGGAGGGUGCACCGUCGCCAUAUAUAGCCGCAAGAGGAUUCACCGGAGCGCUCCUUCCCCCGCGCGCGAAAACCUCAGCAUUCCCGCGCGAGCUCCCGCCAGCCACCUCGCCCGUCGCCAGUGCGCCGCGCGCAGCCGCGCUCCUAGGAAACGAACCCAAGCCGCGUUUCCUGGGAGCCACCCAGGAGGCAGCCUUUUGGCUGUUUUCAGCCAGGCCGCGAAACGGGCCAACCUUGCAAACAAGGCUAGUUGCAGCCCACGGGCGCAACCGGGCUACUGGGCCACCCUCCCAAACAUGCCCCUAGUGUCUGUCGUGUCCACUCGUAAGAUUCGAGCUGGAAAUGACAGUAUUAUUAAAAAGCUGACAUUAACUCAGGCCAUUGACGCAAGAGAUGCACUAGCAAAGUCAAUAUACGCCAAUUUAUUUGACUGGAUCGUUGAGCAAAUUAACCACACACUUGGAACGGGGAGGCAAUUUACAUGGAGAUCCAUAAGUAUAUUGGAUAUUUAUGGGUUUGAGUGUUUCAAUAAGAAUGGUUUUGAGCAAUUUUGUAUAAAUUAUGCCAAUGAGAGGCUGCAGCAGCACUUCAACCGACAUCUUUUCAAACUACAACAGGAGAAAUCCAUGCUCUGAAACUUGAUCCAGGACAUAGAGCCCUUGGACCUAAGUGUCAUCCAGAAAGAUGUUGCUCCUGAAACAGUAGAUGCAAUGAAGAGGACUAUUUCUGGCAUGUUGGGUCUUCUUCCAUCCGAUCAGUUCUGUGUCAUUGUAGAAGCCCUUUGAAAUCCCUUCUUCAAGUUAUUGGUAUCUUCAAUUAUGAUUGGCUCCCGUCACUCCACUCAAGAUCCAGCAGAAGUGGAGCAACUGCGAGAAAAACUUAGGAAUCAGGAUUACUUGAAGCAACAAGCUGCGCAACAUGAAUAUUAUGCUAAACAGAUUCAACAACAACAAACACUCAUACAACAACUAGCACAGACCCAAGGGAUACACGUCCCGGUACCCCCCUACCACCACCUCCCGUUCAUUAUCCUUGGUCUUCACCUCCACCUACACCUACAUCUCCACCUACCGAACAUCAGACCCCUUCAGCUACCUUGCCGACGCAUGAACGAGAAGACGGGUUAGACUUUUUCGAAACCCUCUUCGCUAGUGGAGGUAUGGACCAUCACUCGUCACUGUAACCCGAUGGUGAUCGGCGAUCGUGAGCUUCCAUGUUAUGUGUUCUAAUACUUAAGACUUUUAUUAUGACUAUGUAUGAGAUAUUGUCUCUUAUUAGUACUGGAUGAGAUGUGCCUUAUUAUGAUUAUGGAUAAGACUUUUGUGAUGUAAUUGAUGAGACUAUGGAUUUAAAUAUUGUUAUGUGAUUGUGUGU